rnacentral:rRNA from 1 species
UACGAAGGGGGCGAGCGUUGUUCGGAUUUACUGGGCGUAAAGGGCGCGCAGGCGGCUCAUUUUGUCAGGCGUGAAAGCCCCGGGCUCAACCCGGGAACGGCGUUUGAAACUGGCAGGCUAGAGUUUGGCAGAGGGGGGUGGAAUUCCACGUGUAGCAGUGAAAUGCGUAGAGAUGUGGAGGAACACCGAUGGCGAAGGCAGCCCCCUGGGCCAAAACUGACGCUCAGGCACGAAAGCGUGGGGAGCAAACAGG